AGAGUCGGCUGGAUGGCCGCGGUUUGUUUUGCAAACUGAGGAAGGUCGGGACUCCACAGGGCGUAGGUGCUGGCUAACAGCCAGUCGAGGUGACUCGCAGGAAAGUGCCACAGAAAACAAACCGCCAGCCUCAAGAGACUGGUAAGGGUGAAAAGGUGCGGUAAGAGCGCACCAGCGUCUCGGGCGACCGAAACGGCUAGGUAAACCCCACUUGGAGCAAGAUCAAGCAGGAAGAAGGCGGCCCGUCUGCAGACACUUCCGGGUAGAUUGCAUAGAUGGAUGGUCAUCCAAAGAGGCUUUAAUCUCGAAGUCCUCCUAGACAGAAUCCCGCCUACAGGUCGACUCUACAC
rnacentral:RNase_P_RNA from 1 species